CAUCAAGUUUUCACUCAAACGAGAUCGCUUCUCUUUCAUAUUUUGGCUUGUUUCUUGAGCUAGUAGGAGGCUGUGUGCGUUGAUACAAGAAAAACUUUGUUGUGCAGAGGAAGAUCGAGGUAGAAAAACUGCUUGAAAAUGAAACUUCCAACAUUGAAACAAAAUCAAGCAUGGCAGAAGAGAAACAACGACGCCAGGUUGAAGAUAGCUUGAUGAAAUUGAA